UCACCGGGGCGACAGCAAUAUGAAGGUCAGGCUGAAGACCUUACCCGAUUAGCUGAGAGGUGGUGCAUGGCCGUCGUCAGUUCGUACUGUGAAGCAUCCUGUUAAGUCAGGCAACGAGCGAGACCCACGUCCACAGUUGCCAGCAUACCCCUCCGGGGUGAUGGGUACACUGUGGAGACCGCCGCUGCUAAAGCGGAGGGAGGAGUGGGCAACGGUAGGUCAGUAUGCCCCGAAUCUCCCGGGCUACACGCGGGCUACAAUGGUUGGUACAAUGGGCAUCUACCCCGAAAGGGGAGGAAAUCUCUUAAAGCCAAUCGUAGUUCGGAUUGAGGGCUGCAACUCGCCCUCAUGAAGCUGGAAUCCGUAGUAAUCGCGUUUCAACAGAACGCGGUGAAUACGUCCCUGCUCCUU
rnacentral:rRNA from 1 species